GACAGAAGGUGCGAGCGUUACUCGGAAUUACUGGGCGUAAAGCGUCCGCAGGCGUCCUCCCACGUCUUGGGUAAAAGCACGGAGCUUAACUCCGUGUACGUCUUGGAAACGAGGAGGAUUGAGUCACUCAGAGGCAUCUGGAAUGCCGUGUGUAGGGGUAAAAUCCGUUGAUCCACGGUGGAACGCCGAAAGCGAAAGCAGGAUGCUGGGAGUGUACUGACGCUCAGGGACGAAAGCGUGGGGAGCAAACGGG
rnacentral:rRNA from 1 species